rnacentral:rRNA from 1 species
AUUGAACGCUGGCGGCAUGCUUUACACAUGCAAGUCGAACGGCAGCGCGGGCUUCGGCCUGGCGGCGAGUGGCGAACGGGUGAGUAAUGCAUCGGAACGUGCCCAGUAGUGGGGGAUAGCCCGGCGAAAGCCGGAUUAAUACCGCAUACGACCUGAGGGUGCAAGCGGGGGACCGAAAGGCCUCGCGCUAUUGGAGCGGCCGAUGUCGGAUUAGCUAGUUGGUGGGGCAAAGGCUUACCAAGGCGACGAUCCGUAGCUGGUCUGAGAGGACGACCAGCCACACUGGGACUGAGACACGGCCCAGACUCCUACGGGAGGCAGCAGUGGGGAAUUUUGGACAAUGGGGGCAACCCUGAUCCAGCCAUGCCGCGUGCGGGAAGAAGGCCUUCGGGUUGUAAACCGCUUUUGUUCGGGAAGAAAUCCUCUGGGCUAAUACCCCGGGGGGAUGACGGUACCGGAAGAAUAAGCACCGGCUAACUACGUG